GCCUCGUUCGUCUAGUGGCAGGACGGUGGAUUUUCAGUCCGCAGACGGGAGUUCGAUUCUCCCACGAGGUG
rnacentral:tRNA from 1 species